GAAAAUAGUCCUAUAUUGUAGAGAGUUAGCGAAAUGUGUCAGGUCGGGAACGAAGCAGCACUAAGUUGAUUUCUUUAGGUUUAUAGGGUAGCUGUUUUUGAGC
rnacentral:SRP_RNA from 1 species